rnacentral:rRNA from 1 species
GAGAUCAGAAGCGAGAAUGUUGACAUGAGUAGCGACAAAGAGGGUGAGAGACCCUCUCGCCGAAAGUCCAAGGGUUCCUGCUUAAAGCUAAUCUGAGCAGGGUAAGCCGGCCCCUAAGGCGAGGCCGAAAGGCGUAGUCGAUGGGAACCAGGUUAAUAUUCCUGGGCCAGUGGGAAGUGACGGAUCUCGACGGUUGUCUGCCCUUAUCGGAUUGGGUGGGCUGCUUAGAGGUUCCUGGAAAUAGCCCCACAUCAGACCGUACCCUAAACCGACACAGGUGGACUGGUAGAGUAUACCAAGGCGCUUGAGGGAACCACGUUAAAGGAACUCGGCAAAAUGCCUCCGUAAGUUCGCGAGAAGGAGGCCCCAUCUGUAGGCAACUAUGGGUGGGGGGCACAAACUAGGGGGUGGCGACUGUUUACUUAAAACACAGGGCUGUGCGAAGCCGUAAGGCGACGUAUACAGUCUGACGCCUGCCCGGUGCUGGAAGGUUAAAAGGAGGGGUGCAAGCUCUGAAUUGAAGCCCCAGUAAACGGCGGCCGUAACGAUAACGGUCCUAAGGUAGCGAAAUUCCUUGUCGGGUAAGUUCCGACCUGCACGAAUGGCGUAACGAUCUCCCCGCUGUCUCUAACGUGGACUCAGCGAAAUUGAACUGUGUGUCAAGAUGCACACUACCCGCGGUUAGACGGAAAGACCCCAUGCACCUUUACUCCAGCUUUGCACUGGCAUCAGGAUUGUGAUGUGCAGGAUAGGUGGUAGGCAUUGAAGCGGGGACGCCAGUCUUCGUGGAGCCUCCCUUGAGAUACCACCCUUCGCACUCUUGAUGUCUAACCGCGGUCCGUUAUCCGGAUCCGGGACCCUGCAUGGUGGGGAGUUUGACUGGGGCGGUCGCCUCCCAAACAGUAACGGAGGCGCGCGAAGGUAGGCUCAGACCGGUCGGAAAUCGGUCGUUGAGUGCAAUGGCAGAAGCCUGCCUGACUGCAAGACUGGCAAGUCGAGCAGAGACGAAAGUCGGUCAUAGUGAUCCGGUGGUCCCAAGUGGGAGGGCCAUCGCUCAACGGAUAAAAGGUACGCUGGGGAUAACAGGCUGAUGAUGCCCAAGAGUCCAUAUCGACGGCAUCGUUUGGCACCUCGAUGUCGGCUCAUCUCAUCCUGGGGCUGGAGCAGGUCCCAAGGGUAUGGCUGUUCGCCAUUUAAAGAGGUACGUGAGCUGGGUUUAGAACGUCGUGAGACAGUUCGGUCCCUAUCUGCCGUGGGUGUAGGAGACUUGAGAAGAGUUGCCCCUAGUACGAGAGGACCGGGGUGAACGAACCACUGGCGGACCAGUUAUCGUGCCAACGGUAGUGCUGGGUAGCUAUGUUCGGACAGGAUAACCGCUGAAGGCAUCUAAGCGGGAAGCCCCCUUCAAAACAAGGUCUCCCUUGAGGGCCGUGGAAGACCACCACGUCGAUAGGCCAGAGGUGUAAGUGCAGCAAUGCAUUCAGCUGACCGGUACUAAUUGCCUGA